CAAGCGGUGGAGCAUGUGGUUUAAUUCGAUGCAACGCGAAGAACCUUACCUACUCUUGACAUCCAGAGAAUCUAGCGGAGACGCUGGAGUGCCUUCGGGAACUCUGAGACAGGUGCUGCAUGGCUGUCGUCAGCUCGUGUUGUGAAAUGUUGGGUUAAGUACCCGCAACGAGCGCAACCCUUAUCCUGUUGCCAGCGAGUAAUGUCGGGAACUCCAGGGAGACUGCCGGUGAUAAACCGGAGGAAGGUGGGGACGACGUCAAGUCAUCAUGGCCCUUACGAGUAGGGCUACACACGUGCUACAAUGGCGCAUACAGAGGGCGGCCAACUUGCGAAGUGAGCGAUCCCAAAAAGUGCGUCGUAGUCCGGAUUGGAGUCUGCAACUCGACUCCAUGAAGUCGGAAUCGCUAGUAAUCGUGGAUCAGAAUGCCACGGUGAAUACGUUCCCGGGCCUUGUACACACCGCCCGUCACACCAUGGGAGUGGGCUGCAAAAGAAGUGGGUAGUUUAACCUUCGGGAGGACGCUCACCACUUUGUGGUUCAUGACUGGGGUGAAGUCGUAACAAGGUAGCGCUAGGGGAACCUGGCGCUGGAUCACCUCCUUAUACGAUGAU
rnacentral:rRNA from 1 species